rnacentral:rRNA from 1 species
UACGGGGGGGGCAAGCGUUGUUCGGAAUUACUGGGCGUAAAGGGCUCGUAGGCGGCCAACUAAGUCAUACGUGAAAUCCCUCGGCUUAACCGGGGAACUGCGUCUGAUACUGGAUGGCUUGAGUUCGGGAGAGGGAUGCGGAAUUCCAGGUGUAGCGGUGAAAUGCGUAGAUAUCUGGAGGAACACCGGUGGCGAAGGCGGCAUCCUGGACCAAUAUUGACGCUGAGGAGCGAAAGCCAGGGGAGCAAAGCGGG